rnacentral:lncRNA from 1 species
CUCUAUAGGCCUUUUACAAUGAAACCAAAUUGGGUGGGAGCUUGUCCUUUCCCCAGUCAGGCAGAAGGACACAUAAAUCAAGGCGUCUAUCGUUUGUCACCUCCCUCCCCCCCUCUCCGUUUCUCAGCUGAGGCCAACCACGAUCCAACCCAGAGUUUUUUGGGUCCAAACUUAUCCAUCAAAACCAGCGAGUGGCCGCCAGCCGGCUACAGCCCCAGCGAUCGAUGGGUGUGAUGUUCGCUCCCUCUUGGCCCGUGUGUGUGUGUAUGUGUGUGUGCCUCCCUCCACAUGGGAUGGGGAAGAGGAACCUCAUUUUUGCUGGUUUUAGCCCCGGGGCACUACUGUGAUUUUACCCUGUGCUCCUGGCCUGACGUCAUUAAAGAUGCAUGAUGAUGGAUACAAUGAAGUCAAGCACACGGAGGUGGUUGGAGUUUCUAGUGACAGCCUGUCUUAAUGCCUGUCCUGUGUCCCUUGUGGGGAGUGGGAUCCGGCCUGACGAGAAGGCCUUGCAAUAAGCCUUUAUCAGCCAAGCCCACACAGUACCAGGGGGCCCCGGUCUCCUCCAACAACUCAUGAUGUGGAGGGGAGAUGGACAGAGCUCCGUGGUCCUCUGGUCGAGCAUCAGAACAGGAUUCAGCCCAUUGUGCCAUUCAAAUUAAGCAGGAAUCAAAAGGGAGAGCGGAAGCUGUUGUGCCUGUGUUGUCUUGUGUUAUUUUAACCAGCUUAACUCAAGCCUCUUCAUGGACGAGUGUGCUGCAUGCUGUUGGAUGCCGAUGAUGAUAAGUGGUGGAUUGUAUGUUAAGACUGCUAAGCUGUUGGGUUGGCUGAACUGGGUUGCUGGCUCAAGUAGCUGUUGUUGUUCCUGAUUUUGGCUGAAGUUGAACCGCUUCAAUAGGUUACCAAGGAUUUUCCACUGGAAAUCGCUGACUUGGCUGUCCAUGUAUACUGUCUCUUCAUGUGACCAUAGGGACUUCUGUCUAUUUCAUGAUGUUUUCAUAAAAAAGAAAGAAAGAAAGCAGAACAACAACAAAAAGUUCAGGUGCUUAUUUCAAGUAAUAUCAAAAUAAACCCAUGGCAUGGAUGUCUAUAAUGUCCUUUUUACCAGUUAGAAUGCUAUGGUCGAUAUCUUCAAUGCCUAUUUUAUUUGAAGUGUUCCAUUAAAUAUAGACUGCUCUGUUGGCAACAUAUUUAAAAAUGAGACCUGUCCCCACUUUAAUAAUGAUGCCAAUAACAUCUUAAUACAUGCUGCAAUAAACAUACAGGCAAAGAUGA